rnacentral:misc_RNA from 1 species
CAACCCUCGCGCCCCCCAGGGGGCUCGGUGUUGGGGGCCGGCCCUGGCCGCCCCCGAAAUGCAGUGGCGACCUCGCCGCGGCCUCCCCUGCGUAGUAGAGCACCCCUCGCACCGGAGCGCGGAGACGGUCACGCCGUAAAACGCCCCAACUCCAGU